rnacentral:lncRNA from 1 species
AUGGGAAAGACUAGAGAUCUCUUUAAGAAAAUUAGAGAUACCAAGGGAAUAUUUCAUGCAAAGAUGGGCUCGAUAAAAGACAGAAAUGGUCUGGACCUAACAGAAGCAGAAGAUAUUAAGAAGAGGUGGCAAGAAUACACAGAAGAACUGUACAAAAAAGAUCUUCAUGACCCAGAUAAUCAUGAUGAUGUGAUCACUAAUCUAGAGCCAGACAUCUUGGAAUGUGAAGUCAAGUGGGCCUUAGAAACCAUCACUACGAACAAAGCUAGUGGAGGUGAUGGAAUUCCAGUUGAGCUAUUUCAAAUCCUGAAAGAUGAUGCUGUGAAAGUGCUGCACUCAAUAUGCCAGCAAAUUUGGAAAAGUCAGCAGUGGCCACAGGACUGGAAAAGGUCAGUUUUCAUUCCAAUCCCAAAGAAAGGCAAUGCCAAAGAAUGCUCAAACUACCGCACAAUUGCACUCAUCUCACACACUGGUAAAGUAAUGCUUAAAAUUCUCCAAGCCAGGCUUCAGCAAUACGUGAACCAUGAACUUCCUGAUGUUCAAGCUGGUUUUAGAAAAGGCAGAGGAACCAGAGAUCAAAUUGCCAACAUCCACUGGAUCAUGGAAAAAGCAAGAGAGUUCCAGAAAAACAUCUAUUUCUGCUUUAUUGACUAUGCCAAAGCCUUUGACUAUGUGGAUCACAAUAAGCUAUGGAAAAUUCUGAAACAGAUGGGAAUAUCAGACCACCUAACCUGCCUCUUGAGAAAUCUGUAUGCAGGUCAGGAAACAACAGUUAGAACUGGACAUGGAACAACAGACUGGUUCCAAAUCGGAAAAGGAGUGCAUCAAGGCUGUAUAUUGUCACCCUGCUUAUUUAACUCCUAUACAGAGUACAUCAUGAGAAACGUUGGACUGGAAGAAACGCAAACUGGAAUCAAGAUUUCCAGGAGAAAUAUCAAUAACCUCAGAUAUGCAGAUGACACCACCCUUAUGACAGAAAGUGAAGAGGAGCUAAAAAGCCUCUUGAUGAAAGUGAAAGAGAAGAGUGAAAAAGUUGGCUUAAAGCUCAACAUUCAGAAAACGAAGAUCAUGGCAUCUUGUCCCAUCACUUCAUGGGAAAUAGAUGAGGAAACAGUGGAAACAGUGUCAGACUUUAUUUUUUUAGGCUCCCAAAUCACUACAGAUGGUGACUGCAGCCAUGAAAUUGAAAGACACUUACUCCUUGGAAGGAAAGUUAUGACCAACCUAGAUAGUAUAUUCAAAAGUAGAGACAUUACUUUGCUGACUAAGGUCCAUCCAGUCAAGGCUAUGGUUUUUCCUGUGGUCACGUAUGGAUGCGAGAGUUGGACUGUGAAGAAGGCUGAGCACUGA